GCACUCAGAGGAUGCGCUGGUUCCUGUCUUUAAGGCAGGCGAAGAGGGAAUGCGACAGGGUUUGCGAUCUUCAAGAUUGCACAGUCCAAGCGCAGCCGCCCCCGCGACCGUGACCGGAGAGGUCAUCCAAGCCACUGGCCCGAACGGGUCGGGAAGGUGGAUGACCGUGGGGUUUUUCCCCAGAUCCGCAAGCCGGGAGACCUGCCAGCGCUGAUGAUUACGG
rnacentral:ncRNA from 1 species